CGUCGGCUCGUCGCCCUGAGCCCCUGACCAGUUCUUCCCCAAAUCUUCCAAAACCUAACCCUCAACCCCUACCACACCGCCGCCGCCACCACCAACCACUCGACCGCAGCGCCGGCUUCGUCCCCAAACACAUCGCCGCCGACCGCCUAGUCGUCGCCGAGCACCCUUCUCUACCAAGGAAACCCUUCGUCGCUUCGUUCCCAUCCCCCGCGCACCCAGCGCCUGCUUCCUCCAGAGGAAAGCCGCCGACCGCCCUCCAUCCCCACCACAACAACGACCUCCUCCACAGGUUUCCUCCGCCGAGCAGGCCUCCUCCUCCUCAAGCUUUCUCCCCCGAGCAGGGCCUCCUCCUCCACGAGCAUCCUUCCCUGAGCACUAAGUUGGGUCGCCUCCUGUUUCCCUCACCCGAGCAGCGGGCCUUCCUGUACGGCCCCUCUCUCGAGAAGCUCCACCUCCUCUACAUCCUCCCCCAGGUGCAGCGCCGCCUCCUUGCUCACGGAGAGCACUUGGCCGCUCUGAAGAUAAAGACUAGCUUUGUCAUCCGAUAGCCCAAGUUUUGCUUAUGGUGAAGAGAUCUUCCAUUGCAGCAAAUGGAUGCUUCAACUACAUACUAAAUCAGUGAAUCCCAGUAGGGGUACUACAUGCAAGCUUUGGGAAAUUAAGUUUCAAGUAUGCCUGUUGUUUGUCCUCUCCACCAAGCAGCAUCGACUACUCCAUACAAGCACAUAAGCUUAUGCUCUUCUGAUUAUAUAUUUACCAAUGACUAUUAUGGUUGAUAGCUUAAAAGUCUUUGCUUCUAUAUAUGCAGCUGAGAGUGACUUAUAAGUUCAUGGCAAAACCAGCAACACGAGUACGCAACCACAAGCAAGCUGAGGAGUUACCUCUGAGUUGAUACAUUUUACUGUCUCGAGAUUCUUUUGGCAUCCCUGAACAGUUUCCGCUGAUCCAAAUUAUCAUCCCUCAUGUUAUGGGCCUCAAAGAGCAGCUGAAAGACUAAUUUAAGGUGCAAGUGGAUAAGUCUAGCAAAUGCAGUAAUGUGACCACAAGCAAGUUGAGGAGGUUUCUCAAGAUACACAAGUUGAUGGAGGUUUGGAAGAUCUACAAGUUGCUCUGGAGGUUUUGAAGGUCUGACAAGUUGCUGGAGUGAUGAUAUAUAUGUAAUAUGUCUUGUUUGUUGAACCUCCAGAUAUUGACAAGUUUUACACUGCUCAUUUUGGUGGUUGUUUCAGCAGACAAGCCAUUGUAUGCCAAUUUUGGUUGCGUGGCACGAUUUCUUUACCUUAAACAUAUGUACUUUGCAUUUUGAGGCAUAUAAUGUCUAUAUAUGUACGGUUCAUGCAUGUGUUAAAAACAUAUGUUUUUCGUCUAUUUAUGUUAUUGCAUGAGGUCUUACAUGUAAUCUGAUUGAACGUAUGUGUAAGUUGUGUGAUCUGUC